AACAACUCACCUGCCGAAUGAAUUAGCCCUGAAAAUGGAUGGCGCUGAAGCGGGCAGCCGAAACUAUGCCAUCUGGGCUUGGUGGUAGUAGCAAAUAUUCAAAUGAAAACCUUGAAGGGCGAAGCGGGGAAGGGUUCCACGCGAACAUUGAUUGGGCGUGGGUGAGUCGUUCNUAANCCGUGCGGUAAUUGUAAGAGAUUCGGCGAAAGGGAAGCAGGUUGAUAUUCCUGCACACGGAUGUGGAUAUGCGGUGACGCACACUGGGGCGGUGAAGUCGUCGAUUGCACUGGGCAGAGAUUUCUUUUCUGUUUGACGGAGCCUGACCGUACGCUAUGGAAUCCGCUUGUCGGGAGAAAUAGGUAUGUCACGGCAAAGCGCCGGGUUUUUUAUUUUCUGGCGUCCAGUUUGCGAUUGGCGGACCUUGAAAAACUGUCUGCUGGCAAAACACUCCACGCCGUAACGUACCCAUAACCGCAUCAGGUCCCCAAGGUGAACAGCCUCUGCUCGAUAUGAAAAAUGCAGGUGAGGGAAGUCGGCAAAUUAGACCCGUAACUUUGGGAAAAGGGUUGGCUCUAGUGCUGCGUAGGAGUGGUUGCUGGUUGUAUUUCUGCGGUUCCUGGCGACGCCUACAGCAUGCGGCAAACUAGAACUGCAACGGACAAAGGGAAUCCGACUGUUUAAUUAAAACAAAGCA
rnacentral:rRNA from 1 species